UUUAGUUCCUUUGUUAGAAGCUGGUGAAACUGCGAUUGUGUGCAGAACUUGUUGGUUCAGUUUUGCCUGUUUUAUAGGUAGUAUCAUCUACACAACUACGUUAUGAUGUUCGUGAUGACGCACAACAAAUAAAGGAAAAAGAAGAGAAGGAGAUAUCUACACAUAUGCUGUGAAGAUGUAUCCUGGUUAAAAGGAAACAUACAGACAACAAAAGAAGUGAUGAACACUGCCUAAACAGACAUCAGGGGUGGGAAUUCUUCUCGGAUCCACGGUUUUCCUCUCAUAGAACAUUGUGUUUCCUCGCAUUUUAAUCGUCCUUUCCUCCAAAAUGUGUCAGAUGGCACAGAUUUUAAUGUAGGAUUUCAAGAGUUUCCAGGACCCCUCUAGAUUUGCUCUUUUGUACAGUUCACCAAUUCCCACCCCUAAGACAUAUCUAACACUGACUAGACAGACAUAUUUAACAAUGUCAGUCAAUGGUGGUUAUAAAGGUCUUAAAUGUGAAGUCUGCUUAAAAUGCUUUCCGACGAAGAGAAAAUUAGAAGUACAUAUUCGCGUGCAUACUGGAGAGAAACCUUUCAAAUGUGAAAUGUGCACAAAAUGUUUUACAAGUAAAUCCAACUUAAGAAAGCAUAUGUCCAUUCAUAAUAAUGAAAAAGCUUUCAAAUGUGAAGUAUGCACAAAACGUUUUACACGCAAAUGCGGCUUGAAAGAACAUAUGUUUAUUCAUACAGGUGGAAAACCUUUCAAAUGUGAAGAGUGCACAAACAGUUUCACAAGCAGU